ensembl:lncRNA
GAGAGGAGGCUAAAGAGGCGGUGGCGUAGGGCACUCCCUGCCUGGGCCACAGUGCGCCACUCGGGGCGCUGCGGCCCCCGGGUCUCAGUGCUGGCAGGAAAACAGCUGGGGCCAAGAGGGAGCGUCAUUUCGAAAACCUGCUUCUGGGAACAAAGCGUAAAGUGCAAGCUGGGAGGCGUGGCACUGAGUUUCAGGUGCAAUUUGAAUCGCACAGAAUUUGAAACACACUGCCUGAGUUCAAAUCCUGACUCGACUGUCUGGGUGACCUGGGGGGUUAAUACCAGCACUUACCUCCGAAGUAGAAAUAAAUGUAUUAAACAAGC